UACGUAGGUGGCGAGCGUUGUCCGGAUUUACUGGGCGUAAAGAGCGCGCAGGCGGCUGGGCAAGUCCGAUGUGAAAGCUUCCGGCUCAACUGGAAAAUUGCAUCGGAAACUGCUCGGCUUGAAGGUGGGAGAGGGUAGCGGAAUUCCCGGUGUAGUGGUGAAAUGCGUAGAUAUCGGGAGGAACACCAGUGGCGAAGGCGGCUACCUGGCCCACUCUUGACGCUGAGGCGCGGAAGCUAGGGGAGCAAACGGG
rnacentral:rRNA from 1 species